UCCAGACUCCUACGGGAGGCAGCAGUGAGGAAUAUUGGUCAAUGGUCGGGAGACUGAACCAGCCAAGUCGCGUGAGGGAAGACGGUCCUAUGGAUUGUAAACCUCUUUUGUCGGGGAGCAAAAGACGCCACGCGUGGCGUUCCGAGAGUACCCGAAGAAAAAGCAUCGGCUAACUCCGUGCCAGCAGCCGCGGUAAUACGGAGGAUGCGAGCGUUAUCCGGAUUUAUUGGGUUUAAAGGGUGCGUAGGCGGGAUGCCAAGUCAGCGGUAAAAAUGCGGUGCUCAACGCCGUCGAGCCGUUGAAACUGGCGUUCUUGAGUGGGCGAGAAGUAUGCGGAAUGCGUGGUGUAGCGGUGAAAUGCAUAGAUAUCACGCAGAACUCCGAUUGCGAAGGCAGCAUACCGGCGCCCUACUGACGCUGAGGCACGAAAGCGUGGGUAUCGAACAGGAUUAGAUACCCGAGUAC
rnacentral:rRNA from 1 species